rnacentral:lncRNA from 1 species
UAUUCUAUUUAUACUAGGCUAGAAAAACUGGAAAAAAUGCCCCUGUGGGGUUAGUGCGGGCCACACAAAACCAACCGCGGCCGCACUAGCUCUUUGACUUAGCAAUUUUUAACUGUCUAAACUGGAGGACACGGACUGCACAAAUGAGUAGUGUGGCCACAAAAGGGGUCUCGCAUGGACCACAGGCCGCGUGGCUUUGACUUCGCUCUUAGAUAAUCUCUCUGAAUCUCGCUCAUGCGGACCUCAAAAAUGAGUAAAGUGGCCGCGAAGACUGAGUGCGGACCACGUGAAUCCAACCGCGGUCACGUAGCCAUUAGCCUUAAUAUGCUAUGCCUCUGAAUGUCCUAGUGUGGCCGCGGUUUCUUUCACGCAGAUUGCACUAGGUCCUCUUUUCUUCACUUCACUUAAUCUGUGACACUUGAGCAGGUUUCACUCCAUUUGGGGUCGAUCUUUGAUAUUUUAUCACUUUGUCGAUCAAACCUGCAAUCAAAAACCACUUGUGAGCAUUUCGGGACUAUUUUGUAGCAAUUUAUACUCAAAGCAUAGGCAAGUAGGGGCAAAAACAUAUUAAAAUCCUAACUUAUCGCAAUUCAGAGAUAGAGCUGGAUGGGACUAAUUUAUAGGGCAUAUGGAUGGUGGUAAUGAGCAUUUGGUAAACGAAUUCUACAAAAAUAUGGCCCACAUCAAAAAGGGUACCACAGUCACCAAGGUGCGGAAUUUGAAAGUGAAGUUUGAUGGCAAGACCAUCAAUGACUAUUUAGGAUUCAGAGAGGAGGAUGAAUCCCUAUACUUGGAGAAUAUGCAGUUGGGUGAAGAAGCCCAUCCGUGGUUGGCGGAGUCUGUGGAAAUCCCAUGUACCACCCCCGAGUGGCUGACUGCGGGGUUGAAGAUAUUGAGGAGGAUAUUGAACUUCGAGGCGAAGGGGUAGGAGACAUUUGUGUGCAGCAGGAUAAACCAUACCACGCAUGAUAACUCACUCCCACUUUAUCGGGAGAUCUUAGUAGCAUCUAUUAGAGUGGAUACCCGAUCAAUGUCGGAAAUGUGAUGUCUAGGGUCAUUGCAUGGGUAAUGAGUGAGGGUGACAGGUCCUACCCAUUCCCCAACUUCCUAACGAUGUAUUUGGAGGACCUCAAUGUGGAUAAAUGCAGAUUUCACAUGAAAGUUAAGGCAAAGGCACCUUUCUCGUGGUAUAGACUACAGGGUGAUGACAACCCUAAGAGCAAGCAUUGCAAAAGGAAAUCCACUACUUCAACUAGCCAGUCUGAAAAGCCAGUUGUGGUAGUGAUUAUUCCACAUCCUCCUUCCACUACAGCAGAUAUGGCCCUAGGCCCAUCCAGUUCCUCAGCUCCAGAGAUACCUUCCACCACUGCCUAUCCAUUGACUGCCCAUCAUUUGAGCCAGGCCCUCACCAAUAUCAACAACUGGAUGAACAUAACUACUUCUAAGCUGUCUGUAUUAUCUACUAUCGUGGCAGCUCAGUCAGCACUUCCUCCUCCAUAGGUCCCACAGUCCAUUGAGGACACCCUCAAGGAUCUUCUGGACAACUGGAAAAAGAUCCUUGAUAACCAGAAAUUGCUGACGGACGCUCUUGAUUCACACGGAAAGGCUAUCAAAGAGCUUGCUAGGGAGGCCAAUAAGAUGAGGAAUACUAGGGCUUCCAAAGAGUCGGUGAAAGAGUUACGGGUCGGGGUUAAGAUAUUGAAGGCAGAUCACCUGGCUUUAGAUUUCCUAUAACAUGACCCUAUGCCAGCAGCCCAUCCCAUCUAGAGCAGUCCUUGAGGUCUCUCAAGAGGAAGAGGGUGAUGCCCAGUUUGUUGAUGCAGUUAUCCAGUUGGCGGACCCAUUGCAGACUUCCUCUAGUCAGCCAUAAGAUGCAUCCCAGGAGCUUGUCCAGGUCCAGGCAUAGGUCCCAGCAACAGAUCCACAUGUCACAUGGAGCCAAUCACAGAUUCUCGAGCAUAUAGAGGACCCAUAGACUAAUACUUAGGACCCCAUGCAUACGGACGUCCCAUAAGGAGUCUCUUUUUUCUCUUUCAUCUAUUAUGUGCUUAUUUUUCUUAGUUGGCAUUAAGGACAAUGCAAGCCUUCAUUUUAGGGGGUAGGCCCUAUUUGGAUUUGGAUGACUGUAUGUAUAUGAAAGAUUUUAUUCUUUCUUUCUUUCUUUUUCAUCUUUGAUAUGUAUAUAAUUUCAACAUUUCAUUACAUUUUUUUUACUUUUUUUUACCUUGGGUCUGUAUAUAAAAUUUAUGAUUCAAUGUAUGUAUUCAUCUCCCCUAUUGUUUAUUAGAUUAAAUCCCCUCUUAUACAUAUUCAAUUUACUUUUCGCAAUUUUCCUUUUCUUAGCUGCUUAUUUUACAUUUGUAGUUUCUUGUUUUGAGUUUUUUGCAAUAAGCCUUUAGUUUUCUUAAUGCCACGACUAUUUCCAAAGAUGGAAUUUGUGUGAACCGGGUGGCUCUUCUUGAUGAUGGAUGGCAUGACAGCCUUCUUAAGGGUUUGAGUCUCUUUUUAUUUUCUUUUUUUCUUUUUAGUAGUUAGUGGUAAGGAUGCCUCAAGCAAAGCUUCACUUGGGCCUAGCACAUUUGCCUUGGAUCUUAUGGUCAAAAUUAAAUUAUUGUGUAUAGGAUGGUGAAAGAUUUGAUCUUGAGACUCUUGUGAUGGCCGAUAAUUAUCAAGUGGUUUUUCGGGGCCAUUGUGUGCUCAAAUAUUAUCUAAGGUUGUUGUGGGAACCAUGCACUGUGUCUUUAACGAUCCUAUAGCUUGCGUGGUGAGAAAUUGCAUUACAAGUCCAAGUUCUGAGGCAUUGGUCUAGAGCUUGCCCUGAAUGUUUGUCUAGGAAAAUUCCUAAGUGGAAUUUGACUUAAGACAUGAUUAUUGUCUCUCCUUGAUCCAAAUGAUAGCUUGAACACUUCCAUAGCCUACCAAUGAUAAAAUCCCUAGUCGACCCUUUUGAGCCUUAGAUCUUUUUCCUUCAAGAACCAUGAUACAAGCCUUUACCUAUUCUGAACAAUACCCUCUCUUGACACAAUCUUUCUUUAGCACAUGGAAAAAGUAUAAGUUUAGGGAGAAAGACGAGGAUUGCAACAAAGUGGUAAAAAGGUACAAAAUGAAGAAAAUAAAAGGCAAUGAAAAAGAAUGAAAAGAAAAAAGACAAAAAGAAUGUUCAAUAUAGAAAUAAAUAAAGUGAUUCAAUAAAAGCAAAAAUUGAAAUGUGUGGAAAGUUGAGAAAAAGAAAAGAUUUGAAAUGAACAAGAAAGAGUGAAGGUGUGUCUCUCUAACCCCUUGGAAAGAAGUGAAAUAAGUUAAGUGAAUGCGUGUCAAAAUAAAGAAAAAGAAGUGCUUAAGGGAAGAUGGAACCUACUUAGACAAAAUAUUUCCUACCCUGAACACAAAGCCUUCAUUAUGUCUCCACAAAAGCCCUAUAUGAUCUCUAGUUAAAUGAAGCUUACAUUAGUUGUGACUCACAUAAGGGGUAAGCAUAUGGUACUUAGAGCCGGAAUUGUAACUUCUUCUUGAGAGAGAUGAGUUUAUUUUCAUUAACUUCGCUCUGAGUUCCACUGUCCUAAAGGUGAGGUUUUCUUAGAGAGAGUCAAAGAUGUGUGAGUUUGGGUUCCACAAUGACCAAAGUAAUAGAAAGACAUUCUUUGAUGUGUUGAGUCAAAUCUUAAUGCUCUGUGUCGCACUAAAUCCAUGGUGUUUAAAAGAGUGAAUGUUGUUACUGAUUCAUUUGAAUUGAGGGAAAUUGUUAGUCCCAAUUGAUGCUAGAUAUGGUCACUUUAGGUCGGCUGAAUUUUCUUGGAUUGACUCUUAAAGGGUGGAUCUUAUUUUGUUUGGUUGAGGACAAGGUAAAACGUAAAUUUGGGGGAGUUGAUAACUAGGGAUUAUAAUGCAUUUUACACUCCUUCUUGCUUAAGUUUUGAUUAGAAAUGUGUACAAAAUAGUUCCAAAGGCUCACAAGUUGUGCUUGAUUGCAGGUUUGAUCAACAAGGUGACAAGGUGUCAAAACCAACUCAAAAAAGGAGUACUUGAACAAGUACCAAGACUAGCCCAAGCUCAAUCAUACAGGGUCCGCGUGGCCGCACACCAUUCUGUGUGGUCCACAAAGAUAAAGAUCAAAGUGUGUGCUUCUGAGUCAGCCAUGCAAUGCGGACGCAAAGGGCUUUUGUACGGUCCACAUUGAUUCCACUGCAGCCGCACUCGAUUUCAUGCGGUAAGCAAAGCCAAAGUUCAAAGAGGUGACAAUUGGAGGAUUAAGCUCAAUGCGGUCCGCGGUUCAUUUUUUGUGCGGGCCACAAUAGAAGCCACCACGACCGUGAUGCAUUUUGUGCAGUCCGCAGUGGCCAACUUCAGAGAGGAGAUUAGUCAAGCUAAGAGCCUUAGUGAGGCUACAUCCGCAGGGAUAUUUUUGUCCAGAAUUUUCAGCCUAGGAUAACUAGUUUCUUUUGCCAUUUUUAGGACAUAAGAUAGAUUUUGGGAUAGAGCUGCGCUUAUGAAUACGUUUAUUAUACCAUUUUGAGUAAUUUUAGCCUUAUUUCACUAUUGAAUCUUCAAGUUUUAUCUAAUAAUUAAUGAUUAUGGGUUUUUUUUCUUAUAUUUCUUUGUUUUCUUCCAAAAUUAUGAGUAGCUAGACCCAUUAGCUAGGGUUGUAGCUCACCCUAGUGUGGGUAAUUGAUAGGUCUUGUCUUUUAAUGCUUGAUUGUCUAUGGGUAUUUGGUAUUUGGCUAAUUUAGGGUUUUAAUGUUGAAUUACUGAUUGCAAUCACUAUUUUAUGCCUAGUUGACUUUGGCUCUUCUUGAGAAAGAGAGUCUAAGUCCGUGAUAUUAGCCCACCAAGGAAUUGGGGAGUAUUCAAGAAUUGAUAGCCCCAAAUAAAGAGUUAAACCUAGAGAUGGUAAUACCGACUUGAACCUCAAUUUCUUGCACAAAUUUUCAUACCCAAUUGGUCUUGAGAAAGUCAAUUCGGACAAAAUCACUUGAACUACCGAGAGGUAUAGAGUGAGUAGAAUCGUCCAAUGGUUAUAUCAUACUCCCCGAAUUUGACAACGUAGCCUUAGACUCAAGAAAUCGUCAAUUGGCCACCUAGGAGAAACUCACUACCCUAGUGCCCUUUUAUCUAUUUGAACAACUCUCAAUAGUUUAAUCUUAGCAUUACUUAGUCUAAAUUAGCAUCCUAGUAGUCAAAAAUUAGAAGUAAAAAUUCAAAACCAACAAUGUUUAGAAGUGCAAUUAGGAACAAAUACGCAACUCCAACUUAGAUAGAAACUCAACUCUAAUAUCUAGCUCCCUGUGGAGAUCGAUCCCAACCUUCUCGGGUAAAAGCUGCUUCGACCUUUCUUGCUAGUUCAUAGUAGUACAGGGUUGGCCUCGAUCAACAUGCAUUAGGACUGUGCUACAUCUUGCAAGGUAUCAAGGCUAUAACAUUUGAAUAACUUGCGACUCAUGCCCAUGACAUGGAGUAAGCAUGACCUCUGCUAGCAAUGAAAUGAUGUAUAUCUAUGAGCCUCGCAAAGGAAUGACAAGCAAGAAGUCAGGAAAUGGAGCGAUUUUGCGCCCAAAUCUAAAAACAAAGAAGCUAUGAAUGUCAACACAUAACCUAUGAAGUUCACAAUGAAGGUGAGCAAUAAGUAGAGUACGAAAUCCACUUAUUUUAAAGAUAAACCAAGUGGAAAGUUGACUCUAAAAUAAAUGCAAGAGAAGGAAGGAGUACCCAUUUUUGGAUUCUGAUGGAUAUCAAGUAUUAUCCCUAUAAGGAAGAAGAAUGGUCAGAUUCGGGUGUUCGUUGACUUUAGGGAUCCAAAAUAUAUAUGCCCCAAAUAUGAAUUGGCAACUACGUGUUAUUAAGUUGGCGAGUGCCACAGAAAAUUCAAAUAACGGCACACCUCGAUUGCUAAAGGAUUAAAAUUAGUUAAGUGAGGGCCAUACAUUAUGGGAUUCAUUUGUGAAUGGCACGCCUCACUUUAUUUCAAAAGAUUCGUAUUCAACUAAAGCGAACUAUGGAUGUUCAAAAGUGACCAUCCAACUUGUUUGGAAUCGAUCUCAGACAUGUAGAAAUUUAUAGAUCUAAUUUUGAAAGCUUCAAUAACAAACAGGAGGCUGCCAAGGAUAUUAUGUCCGUUCAUACAGGGACACAUAGCAAAACCUUUAAUGUAAUUAUGAAGUAGCACCAGACAAAAAAAAAAACUGCAGCAUAUAUAAAGUAAAAUCUUUAUCUAAAGGUAAUUGAGCAUUGUGUUAUUUACACAUAUGGCGAAUUAUUUGGGAUCAAUAAACAUCUGCUAGUAGUAGUCAUCUCUAUUGCAAAGGAAGAAGAUUCAAAAGGAAGCAAUUGUAGGAGACCGUAUCACAGUGAGAGCAAAACAGGAACAUGUGCUCUUAACAAACGCACCGUCAAUAAUGUUAAAACGUUUCAUAUAAACGUAGAUUUACCUUACAUCGGCAUCAAACUGACAGCCAUAUAAUACGGAUUAUUACAACAAAUUUACUCAAACAACUUAUAACAACAGAACCAAAUAGAAGGAAGAGAGAGCAAAAGUUUACCUCUAUAUCUCAGAACCUCCGCAUGCAUUACAUGGCUGGAAAAUAGAGUCUUGACCAGAAACCACCGGAAACAACAAGCCUCAACACGGAUUCACAGACUCGAACCUCAAAUCAGCGACUGGCAACAGAUUCAGACUCAAAACAAUCCUCAACUUCAGUUAAACUUUAUGUUUCGAAAAUCUGUUCGUGCGCGUGACUGUGUGUGUAUGUUUUUUGGAAGAAGGGUCUGUUGGUUUUAUGAAGAAGAAGCAGCAACUUCUCUUCAUCUAUGGUUGAGGUCCGUUCAACUGGAUGAAGCAGCUAGAUCCGGUUAAGGGAGUGGUCAAUGAAGGUUUGAUGAAGGAGAUGACUAUGGGGGUGGGGUCUGGUUGAAGAAGAAGCAAAAUCGUGGAUCUUCGAUGGUGCCUCCUCUAAUGGAGGUCCUGGUCGUGAAAAUGAAAAAGCAGCACAACGGAUGGGGGUUGGUUCUUUUGUGUUACAACGGCGCUCUCAUGUAGGUAUUAGGC